AGCCAAAAACAGAGGCAAUUUCAUAGUCAAUGAAGUUCUACUGAGACGUGAUUUUUGCUGGGUAAAAACUUAAAACCAAUACCCCGCAAGGAUGACUUGAAAUACAGUCAGCCAAGGCAAUUUUUGUUAGUCUCUUAGGAGA